UUGAGAACCUACAUCGUACUCAGACAAGGAUUAAAUGUUAUUGUCGAUGUUCAUUCAGUGUAAGAUACAGCCUCCACCUUCAAGGAAUUUACAGUCUAACUGGGAAAACAUGAUUAACCAGAUGGAAUAUUGAAGACAGUAAAUAAUUGGGUUCUGUCUUUUUUCAAAUCAGAUGCCCAAUAAAUUCAUGGUGCAGCAUUUCAUAUUCUAAAGCUAAAAACGGGGAAGACUUGUAGAGCCUGAAGGACACCAGGAAGCUUCAGAGAAGAACAGGGAGACGAAAUUGGCUGGAUUUGCCUAAGCAGGAAGGCUGGAAAGCACAAGAUAAAGAACAGCUUCUCAAACUGAAGACUGUGUUGCAUGAAAUAACACUAGGGAAUAUGUUAGAGUCCUCAAAAGUCCACAAAGUAAAUAUGGUGAAUUGUCUAGGACUUGAUUCAACAACAAAUGACUUAAAAUGUUGUUUUUAAGUGAACACAAACAUAUUAUGAAGUAGAAUGCAAAAUGUGAAGAAAUUUUUCAAAUUACAGAUGAAAACUUGUUCUUUGACAUCAUCUUAGAAUAUGAAAUUAUUGUCCACAAACAACGGCAGUUUGUCAGAAAAGAUUUAUCAGGAAAGAUAGAGUUGGGUCUGGCAGUGGUCAAAGUAUAUUUCCUAAUUGAAGGAAAUAUAGUGAUACUUAAGGAAAGGAGAAUAAAACUGAAUAAGUAGGUCCUUAAAGCCAUAUAAAGGACUUUUACCUCUUGAUACACGGCUAUCUACUCCCCGAAUUAAGUUAGAUUUAAUGUAGUAGAAAUAUGAAAAGAAUUUUAAGUUCUCAAACAUAAAAUAUAAGAUAAAUGUUAAUCUUCUACAAAUGUACAAGAUGGAAUAGAAGUGGAAAUGGAGGUAGAGGUGUCGGGAAUGCUACGAGAUAAAAGAUUAUUGAUGUCAUCCAAACUUCUGCUGGUGAAGACAUGGCUUAAAAUGAUGGGUAUAUGUUAACAACAACAACAAUAAAAAAAAGUCUGAAGAAAAUAGGGGUAAGGACCUAUGUGACAAAUAUGAAGACUAAUUAUAAUGUAAAUUUUGAGUUAUAUAUAAAUCUCUCAAUCUUAUUAAUCAAAAUGGCUUCAGGUGGUAGGAGAUAAUGCAGCUAAUUAAAUGUUGUAUUUAUACUUUCCAUCUCAGGAAUCUCAAGCAAGAAACACAUGAUCUUAAGAUAGUCUCUGUCCCCUUUGGCACUCCCACUGGAUGUCCCACGGACACCUGUGUCCACACCCGGAAGCCAGAGGCCGGUGCAGGAAGUGCUGGUGGGGGUGGUUCUAGGGAGACAAUCACUGCGUGCACAGGGCGAUGCUGGUGAUUACGGAGGUGGCAGCUCUUUAGGAGAUGAAAGGGCUCACUCGUCAGCUCUGGCUGCUGAAUUUAAUGUAUCCCCUGGUGAAAAAGAGAAAGUAGCAGUGGCCUAAGAGUUAACACAUAGACCAAGACUAUGAAACUGUCAGACUGCAAAACGCUAUUAAUUUUGAAAGUGGGAACUUAAUUGGCUCCCUCUUACCACCUGUGGUUGAUGUUAGUUCUUCAAUAAAGGAGAAAAAAGACCAUCUGAGGUGAGUGAUCUUAGAGACUAUAGCUGCCUCCCACUGGGCCUCUUAAAGAGAGUGUUGACAAUUUUAUUAUAAGCCUCUCCUAGAGGGGUUUCUCACUUUCAUGUAUAAUUUGUCAUAUCC
rnacentral:lncRNA from 1 species